UACGUAGGGGGCAAGCGUUGUCCGGAAUCAUUGGGCGUAAAGAGCGCGUAGGCGGCUAGAUAAGUCCGGUGUGAAAGUCACAGGCUCAACCUGUGAAUGCCGCUGGAAACUGUCUGGCUAGAGUCCGGAAGGGGCGAGUGGAAUUCCUGGUGUAGCGGUGAAAUGCGCAGAUAUCAGGAGGAACACCAAUGGCGAAGGCAGCUCGCUGGGACGGUACUGACGCUGAGACGCGAAAGCGUGGGGAGCAAACAGG
rnacentral:rRNA from 1 species